UACGAAGGGGGCUAGCGUUGUUCGGAUUUACUGGGCGUAAAGCGCACGUAGGCGGAUUGUUAAGUCAGGGGUGAAAUCCUGGAGCUCAACUCCAGAACUGCCUUCGAUACUGGAAAGCUCGAGUCCGGGAGAGGUGAGUGGAACUGCGAGUGUAGAGGUGAAAUUCGUAGAUAUUCGCAAGAACACCAGUGGCGAAGGCGGCUCACUGGCCCGGUACUGACGCUGAGGUGCGAAAGCGUGGGGAGCAAACAGG
rnacentral:rRNA from 1 species